GUCGAUCGCAAUAGCAAAUUAUAGUGGACAGCACGGAGGAAGGAAACGGUGGACAGCUACACGAAGGAUGACAACCAGCAGGAGCAAUCACUUUAGUCUUGGAAGAGGCUACUAGGUCACGCAGAUUCCUGGAGAGACGAUGGUGAUUCCGUGAAAAUGCCUGAAGACGGUCGCUCUGUGUCAACUUCAACCAUGCUCCACGCAAGUCGGUAAGGAAGCAUAAACAGUACCAAUCCCUGAGACGUCGUCUUCGCCACUUCAAGAAGGCCAGGUUGUCGGAGUACGUAGAGAUCUUCGUCGCCAAAAGCCAGGGUUCUCAAAGCGACGGCUCUACCGAAGUCAUACCCAGUUGUCACCGAAUAUGGAAGUAUUUUGGGACGCAACGGACAACAUCUCAGGGCGACGGCUGAGCUUUUCAUCACUGCACCUAGUGAUGACGACAUGCCAGAGGACGGCUGCGAGAACAGCGUGCCCUGCCAGGUACAACCAUGUUGCUGCAAGCGCAACCACCACUGCACCGUCGGUACCGACACCUGCGCCAAGAUCCCAGUGCGAAAAGAAGAGAACCACGGUGGUUGGAGAAUGACGAGAACGUUGUACAGGUUCCGUGAUGGAACUCUAAACGUUCUGACUGUGUAAACAAACUUUUCUCAUGCUUAGAACUUGGGUACCUUUUCCUGUAACUGGUAUAGAACCAGCGCGAAUAAACGCUGCGGUGCUCUUUAUUUGCUC